UUGCAGACCCAAGAUCUGGCUGAAGACAGUGGGGAAAGAGGAGAAGACAGAAGAGGAGAAGGAGGUGGAGGAAGAGGAGGAGGAGGAGGAGGAAGAAGCGGAGGAGGAGGAGGAAGAAGAAGCGGAGGAGGAGGAGACAGAGGAGGAGGGGGAGAAGGAACAGCGGCAGUGGUAGAGGUGGAAACCGUGGAUGGAUUUCUUCCCUCCUGUGCCUCUUCUUUGCACAAAUGGAUGUUCUGUCUUUUUCCAGGAUGAAAUGGCGUAAGGAAAUUCUCAGAUCUCCAACCUGAGAUUAUCUGAGUGGAAUAAUUCAAAUUCCUUCUUAAGAAAUGGCAAACCAAAGACUGGACAGACUGGAAAUAUCAAAGAAUGUAUGUGGAGCUGGAGCGAGGGAAUUGAAUGCGUCACUACCAUCCUUCCAGACCACGACUGCCAAUCUGUGUGAUUUCAACGUUCUGCUUUUUUACAAAUGAGAAGACCCGGUAUAUAAAGUGUAACAAAUAUUUAUAGAAAGCCACUUUUUAUGAAGAAAUCUUUUUAGAUAUUCUAUAACAUUACUGUCUUUCAAAUCAAUAAGUAACUGGCUAAUAUUCCAAUAGAAAAAUGAGCAAAG
rnacentral:lncRNA from 10 species